CGGACACGCCGCGUGGGGAUGAAGGCCUCUGGGCUGUAAACCUCUUUUAUCAAGGAAGAAGAUCUGACGGUACUUGAUGAAUAAGCCACGGCUAAUUCCGUGCCAGCAGCCGCGGUAAUACGGGAGUGGCAAGCGUUAUCCGGAAUUAUUGGGCGUAAAGCGUCCGCAGGCGGUCUUGUAAGUCUGUCGUUAAAGCGUGGAGCUUAACUCCAUUUGAGCGAUGGAAACUGCAAGACUAGAGUGUGGUAGGGGCAGAGGGAAUUCCCGGUGUAGCGGUGAAAUGCGUAGAUAUCGGGAAGAACACCAGUGGCGAAGGCGCUCUGCUGGGCCAUAACUGACGCUCAUGGACGAAAGCCAGGGGAGCGAAAGGGAUUAGAUACCCCUGUAGUCCUGGCCGUAAACGAUGAACACUAGGUGUCGGGGGAAUCGACCCCCUCGGUGUCGUAGCCAACGCGUUAAGUGUUCCGCCUGGGGAGUACGCACGCAAGUGUGAAACUCAAAGGAAUUGACGGGGGCCCGCACAAGCGGUGGAGUAUGUGGUUUAAUUCGAUGCAACGCGAAGAACCUUACCAGGGUUUGACAUCCUGCGAAUUCCUUGGAAACGAGGGAGUGCUUCGGGACCCAUGGCAGGGGUGCUGGGUGGUGGCAGCUCGUGUCUGGAGAUGUGGGUUAAGUCCCG
rnacentral:rRNA from 1 species